GGCUCAGUGGUGGAGUGGUACACAUGUGUAAUCUAUUUAAGUGUUUCUCAAAAUCUUCAACAGAUGACGCUUGUUCGAAUCAAGCCUGAGCCA